CCUCCCAGAAUGGACCCUUUUGCCUCCAGGCCUUCCCCGCAAUCUUGUGACUCUUCCCUCUGCCACCCGCAGCUUUGAAAACUUUGGUCUUUGCUUCCCUGCAAGGCCAGGAAGUGUAGGCUGGCGGUUGAGCUUGUACGCCCAUUCAUGUUUACUCCCGAUGUGUUCAGUGGGGCUUACUCCCAGGAAUAGUGGAGGCAGGGGGAGAACGAGAGCCGCUGUCGGUCUGAAGUGCUGGCUUCCAUCUAGGCUGCCAAACCAGAGGCAGAUCUCCAGGCUAUUUUAAAAGUGCUUUCAGCCCAUGGCUAGAUCUUGCGCAUGCCAAGUUCUGAAGGAGAGGCACACCUAUUGACAGACAGUGCAAGUCCUGUAAGGGAAGCAAAAGGUCGUCCAACUUGGAAUGGAGAAAUCUCACAGCAGACCUUGGGGCA